rnacentral:rRNA from 1 species
CUGCUCCACGGGGCGCAGCAGUAGGGAAUCUUCCACAAUGGGCGAAAGCCUGAUGGAGCAACGCCGCGUGGGUGUAGAAGGUCUUCGGAUCGUAAAACCCUGUUGUUAGAGAAGAAAGUGCGUGAGAGUAACUGUUCACGUUUCGACGGUAUCUAACCAGAAAGCCACGGCUAACUACGUGCCAGCAGCCGCGGUGAUACGUAGGUGGCAAGCGUUAUCCGGAUUUAUUGGGCGUAAAGAGAACGCAGGCGGUCUUUUAAGUCUGAUGUGAAAGCCUUCGGCUUAACCGGAGUAGUGCAUUGGAA